rnacentral:lncRNA from 7 species
AAAGGGAUCAACCUUCCUACUCACAGGCUUCCAUGGCCAUGGAAAAAUCUUUUUUGAAGCUCCUCUUUGAGUUCCCUGUGGCAAGAAACAGAGCAUUUUCUCGUCUUACUGAAGCAGAAAUAUUAUGUUAUCCCUAAAAUCAUCAGCUGCAGACUUAUGUAACAAUAGAACCUGUUUUCCAGGAACAAUAUUAAUUGCAGUCUAUUAUAAGCCAUGGAAAACAUUUUUCAGUGUUAUGAGUCAUGCUUCUUCUCGUCAGGCUAAGUGCUGUGAACUGUAUUUCCUGAAAACAGUACCUUUACUCAGUGCAGGGGCUGUGUUAGCAUUGACACCUGAUGACUUUCCAAGGUUUUAUUCUGAAAUAGAAUGGGCACUUGUGGAAGGACUGCAAUGGUAUCACCUUUAUUUGGACUUCUGCAGUGGACAUCUGAUGCUGUCAUAGCAACGGAUCCCUGAGUAGUUAGAAUUUGAAGCCACAGCAUCUGAAUUCCCUGUUGUGAUGGGAAACAGCUGUAUUGAUGGCCUGCAUUCACCAUAAUUUUGCCACUCCAGAUGCCUGCAGCACAGCCUAUGUUUCUGUCAUCAGGUCUGUAUUUCCCUUGGGUUUUACAUGGAGCCUUGUGCUUCUCUAGUUCUUCCUCUCUCCUGACCCAAAAUUUUGUCAACAUAAGAUUUUCAGAAGCUAGAGCUUCAUGUACAUCUGUAUUUACAUACCCAGAUACCAAAGCUGUCCUUGAAGUCUGAUAUUUCAAUAGUUGUGUCUUGCUCUUGCUAUUAUUUGUUUACAAAGUAUUAUCACUGGAUAUAUAAAUGUACAACAAAACACAGAAAUAUUUAUAUGUAUAUAUUGCACCCCCAGUCACAAACAAGAGACAGUAAAAUAUGCCUUUUACCAGACAGACAGUGAUGUUAUUCCUGGGCUUAGCAGAGGUUUGGCAUAAGAGAUUAAAACAUCAUAACUUCUAAGUAGAGAAGUAAAGUUUUACAGAGGAGAU